GAUCCUGGCUCAGAUUGAACGCUGGCGGCAGGCCUAACACAUGCAAGUCGAACGGUAACAGAAAGCAGCUUGCUGCUUUGCUGACGAGUGGCGGACGGGUGAGUAAUGUCUGGGAAACUGCCCGAUGGAGGGGGAUAACUACUGGAAACGGUAGCUAAUACCGCAUAACGUCGCAAGACCAAAGAGGGGGACCUCGGCCGUCUUGCCAUCGGAUGUGCCCACGAUGGGGUUAGGCUAGUAGGUGGGGUAAAGGG
rnacentral:rRNA from 1 species